rnacentral:rRNA from 1 species
CCUACGGGAGGCAGCAGUGAGGAAUAUUGGUCAAUGGUCGGGAGACUGAACCAGCCAAGCCGCGUGAGGGAGGAAGGUACAGAGUAUCGUAAACCUCUUUUGUCAGGGAACAAAGACUGGGACGCGUCCCCGGAUGAGUGUACCUGAAGAAAAAGCAUCGGCUAACUCCGUGCCAGCAGCCGCGGUAAUACGGAGGAUGCGAGCGUUAUCCGGAUUUAUUGGGUUUAAAGGGUGCGCAGGCGGUCUGUUAAGUCAGCGGGCAAAGCCCGGGGCUCAACCCCGGCCCGCCGUUGAAACUGGCAGUCUCGAGUUGGAGAGAAGUAUGCGGAAUGCGCGGUGUAGCGGUGAAAUGCAUAGAUAUCGCGCAGAACUCCGAUUGCGAAGGCAGCAUGCCGGUUCCACACUGACGCUGAGGCACGAAAGCGUGGGUAUCGAACAGGAUUAGAUACCCGGGUAGUC